rnacentral:lncRNA from 11 species
CGUUGACUGGGGCAACAGAGCAAGGAGAAAGGGAACAUGAACAGUCCGUAUUUUCGCCAUGAAGUUCUGGCUUGUGAGACUGGUGAGCUGAAAAACUUCUGGGAAAAGACAAUUGAGAAACAAACUCAACAUUCUGAAGCCGAAAAAGACCGUAAAAAAAGAAGUGCACUGACAAAACUCAGACAAGAAUGGAAAGAAAGGCUGGAGAAAAGACUGAAGAUGCUAGAAGAACAGGAUGAGACUGAAGAAACCCAUAACUGAUCUUCAUGCACAUCUGUGUUUGACAGAAAUAUGGCCAUAAGCUAAAUUGAAAGAUGAAAGUUUGUGUUCAGGCACAGUUCUAAUGUAUGGCUUGUUUUCAUUCAGAAACUUCACUGAAUUUAUGUAGGAAAUACAUGUACUGUAGAUACUGCUUUUUGAGUGUGUCUUUGAAUAUUUGACUUCAUCCUUUGGCUAGCACAGUCACCCUUUAUAUUCCUCUUGAAAGUUUUCUUAGCACUAUAUCAUACUUUCCUAAUUGGUAAUUUAUUGUUGAAAUGAUGGAUUUUAGAUUUGUAAUAUAAUUUGCCCUGUUUUUCAGGCACUUCCAGUGUUAUGUUAUUUUACAGCUUUUCAUCAAUUAUGUAGAGCCACA